GACGAACGCUGGCGGCGCGCUUAACACAUGCAAGUCGAACGGAAAGGCCUGCUUUCCCUUGUGGAUUGCGGGUACUCGAGUGGCGAACGGGUGAGUAACACGUGAGUGAUCUGCCCCCAACUUGGGUAUAAGCCUGGGAAACUGGGUCUAAUUCCCGAUAGGACUGCAGGGUGGUGCCUGUGGUGGAAAACGAUUUUCUAGUGGUUGGGGAUGAGCUCGCGGCCUAUCAGCUUGUUGGUGGGGUAAUGGCCUACCAAGGCGGCGACGGGUAGCCGGCCUGAGAGGCUGGACGGCCACAUUGGGACUGAGAUACGGCCCAGACUCCUACGGGAGGCAGCAGUGGGGAAUAUUGCACAAUGGGCGGAAGCCUGAUGCAGCGACGCCGCGUGGGGGAUGACGGCCUUCGGGUUGUAAACUCCUUUCGACCGCGAGGAAGCCACCUGGUUGGAAGGGUGGUGACGGUAGUGGUAGAAGAAGCACCGGCUAACUACGUG
rnacentral:rRNA from 1 species